GACGAACGCUGGCGGCGUGCUUAACACAUGCAAGUCGAACGGAAAGGCCCUGCUUUUGUGGGGUGCUCGAGUUGCGAACGGGUGAGUAACACGUGAGUAACCUGCCCUUGACUUUGGGAUAACUUCAUGAAACUGGGGCUAAUACCGGAUAGGAGCUCCUGCUUCAUGGUGGGGGUUGGAUAGUUUCGGCGGUUGGGGAUGGACUCGCGGCUUAUCAGCUUGUUGGUGGGGUAGUGGCUUACCAAGGCUUUGACGGGUAGCCGGCCUGAGCGGAGGACCGGCCAAACUGGGCCUGGGAUACGGCCCAGACUCGUCCGGGAGGCAGCGGUGCGGAAGAUUGCACAAUGGGCGGAACGCUGAUGCAGUAAAGCAGCGUGGGGGAUGACGGCCUUCGGGUUGUAAUCCGCUGUCGCCUGUGACGAAGCGUGAGUGACGGUAAUGGGUAAAGAAGCACCGGCUAACUACGUG
rnacentral:rRNA from 1 species